UCCUACGAAGUAGAAGAGGAGGUGGAAAGU
rnacentral:piRNA from 1 species